GACGAACCGUGCGAACGUUGUUCGGAUUCACUGGGCUUAAAGGGCGCGUAGGCGGACGGUCAAGUCGGGGGUGAAAUCUUUCAGCUUAACUGGAAAAGUGCCUCCGAUACUGAUCGUCUCGAGGGAGGUAGGGGCAUGUGGAACUUCCGGUGGAGCGGUGAAAUGCGUAGAGAUCGGAAAGAACACCAACGGCGAAAGCACUCUGCUGGGCCGACACUGACACUGAGAGACGAAAGCUAGGGGAGCGAAUGGG
rnacentral:rRNA from 1 species